UUUUUCGGCAUUAUUCAACGCAUCUACACAACAUUUGCUAAUUCUACUAAAAGAUGGCAAAUUCUCAAAAAUAAUAUAACAUGAGUAACACUCAAGUCAUUGUCAGCUACUCAUUGGGGGAGUCGUGUUGAUAGUGUUAAGGCUAUAAGGAUUCAACUACCAGAAAUAAGGGAGGCUUUACUACAAGUGGCUGAAAAUGAUAAAGAUCCAUCGACAAGUAGUGAAGCUCAAUCAUUGGCAGAAAAUGAUCUUUGUGGCUUUGAAUUCUUAGUGUCAAUAAUCAUAUGGUUUGAAAUAUUAUCAGCUAUAAAUUUGAUCAACAAAGAGUUGCAGUCAAAGGAUAUACUUAUUGAUAUCACAGUUGCGUAUGUAAAGGGCUUGAUUUCCUUCUUCACCAAGUAUAGAGAAACUGGCCUUUCAAAAGCAGUGGAAGAUGCAAAAAAAAUUGCAAUGGAGAUGGAUAUUAAUCCAGAGUUUGGCACCAUGCGUAAAAUCAGGAGGUAA
rnacentral:rRNA from 1 species